rnacentral:tRNA from 1 species
GGGGUUGUGGCUCAGUGGUAGAGCACUUGCCUCUCAUGUACGAGACCCUGGGUUCGAUCUUCAGCACCA